rnacentral:rRNA from 1 species
CUAUACAUGCAGUCGAGCGGACCGACGGGAGCUUGCUCCCUUAGGUCAGCGGCGGACGGGUGAGUAACACGUGGGUAACCUGCCUGUAAGACUGGGAUAACUCCGGGAAACCGGGGCUAAUACCGGAUGCUUGAUUGAACCGCAUGGUUCAAUCAUAAAAGGUGGCUUUUAGCUACCACUUCCAGAUGGACCCGCGGCGCAUUAGCUAGUUGGUGAGGUAACGGCUCACCAAGGCGACGAUGCGUAGCCGACCUGAGAGGGUGAUCGGCCACACUGGGACUGAGACACGGCCCAGACUCCUACGGGAGGCAGCAGUAGGGAAUCUUCCGCAAUGGACGAAAGUCUGACGGAGCAACGCCGCGUGAGUGAUGAAGGUUUUCGGAUCGUAAAACUCUGUUGUUAGGGAAGAACAAGUACCGUUCGAAUAGGGCGGUACCUUGACGGUACCUAACCAGAAAGCCACGGCUAACUACGUGCCAGCAGCCGCGGUAAUACGUAGGUGGCAAGCGUUGUCCGGAAUUAUUGGGCGUAAAGCGCGCGCAGGCGGUUUCUUAAGUCUGAUGUGAAAGCCCCCGGCUCAACCGGGGAGGGUCAUUGGAAACUGGGGAACUUGAGUGCAGAAGAGGAGAGUGGAAUUCCACGUGUAGCGGUGAAAUGCGUAGAGAUGUGGAGGAACACCAGUGGCGAAGGCGACUCUCUGGUCUGUAACUGACGCUGAGGCGCGAAAGCGUGGGGAGCGAACAGGAUUAGAUACCCUGGUAGUCCACGCCGUAAACGAUGAGUGCUAAGUGUUAGAGGGUUUCCGCCCUUUAGUGCUGCAGCAAACGCAUUAAGCACUCCGCCUGGGGAGUACGGUCGCAAGACUGAAACUCAAAGGAAUUGACGGGGGCCCGCACAAGCGGUGGAGCAUGUGGUUUAAUUCGAAGCAACGCGAAGAACCUUACCAGGUCUUGACAUCCUCUGACAACCCUAGAGAUAGGGCUUCCCCUUCGGGGGCAGAGUGACAGGUGGUGCAUGGUUGUCGUCAGCUCGUGUCGUGAGAUGUUGGGUUAAGUCCCGCAACGAGCGCAACCCUUGAUCUUAGUUGCCAGCAUUCAGUUGGGCACUCUAAGGUGACUGCCGGUGACAAACCGGAGGAAGGUGGGGAUGACGUCAAAUCAUCAUGCCCCUUAUGACCUGGGGCUACACACGUGCUACAAUGGGCAGAACAAAGGGCAGCGAAGCCGCGAGGCUAAGCCAAUCCCACAAAUCUGUUCUCAGUUCGGAUCGCAGUCUGCAACUCGACUGCGUGAAGCUGGAAUCGCUAGUAAUCGCGGAUCAGCAUGCCGCGGGUGAAUACGUUCCCGGGCCUUGUACACACCGCCCGUCACACCACGAGAGUUUGUAACACCCGAAGUCGGUGAGGUAACCUUUUGGAGCCAGCCGCCGAAGGUGGGACAGAUGAUUGGGGUG